rnacentral:lncRNA from 1 species
UUUUUUUCUUUUCUUUUUUUUUUUUUGAGACAGAGUCUUGCUCUGUUGCCCAUGCUGGAGUGCAGUGGUAUGGUCUUGGUUUACUGCAGCCUCUGCCUCCUGGGUUCAAGCGAUUCUCCUGCCUCAGCCUCCCUAGUAGCUGGGAUUACAGGUACCUGCCACUACGCCUGGCUAAGUUUUGUAUUUUUAGUAGAGACGGGGUUUCACCACGUUGACCAGGCUGGUCUCAAACUCCUGACCUCAGGUGAUCCACCCACUUCGGCCUCCCAAAUUGCUGAGAUUAUAGGUAUGAGCCACUGUACCCGGCCAGACUCUUGGCACCUAUCAUGACCUGCAUUUCUUUGGUGUCCCCAGAAGACACCAGAGCCAUCUAGACACCCACAGACACACUGCCUGCCACACAGCCUAAUACAGUAUUGUGACCAGGAGCAUAUCCUUUCUGGGACGUGUACACAUACGUGCACAUGCACACUUUUGUGCCUGCUUGCAAGAGCUCAAUGGGCACAGCCAACCCUGUGUGCAUGUGCACCCCCCACCCUGGGCACUGACACCCCCUUUAACAGACAAUGCAUAGCUGAGAAUUGCCACAGCUUUUUGGUCCAAGAGAGCAAGAAGGUGCUGGUUGCUCCUGGCAGCAGGCAGGUGUUCUGUCUCAGCAGGAGCUGCCUGGGGGCUGUAGUCACUGCCUCCCCACCCACCCUGGGGGUUACCAGAGGGCUUCCUCUCCUCUUGCUCGAGGGUCCCCAGCACUACCUCUUCCCCUAGGCCUUUACAUUCUGAAAAUGAGGAGUCAGGGCCUGCAAGAGGGGCUGGAACCUCACCAAAGUGUAUGUGUGUACAUGUACGGAGGCCCUCAUGCCCAAUUCUGUCCCUGACAGCUGAGCUGUGGGUCUCCUGCUGUAUUUGCCUAUGUCGAUGAUCAGAGCCACAUUAUAAGUGUGUGUGUAUGUGGCAUGUGAGGGACAUGGGUGUAUGUGUGUGAUCCCUGUGUGUAUGGCUAGAUGAUUCUCCCAGGGGGGUUGUCAGCCGCUUGGGCAUCAGACAGUUGGUCAGUGUGUCCAAGGCCUGUGGGUACAUCUGGGCAACCCAGUAUGGUGUGUGUGUCCGUGUGUUGUGUUGUGACAGCCAGUGUUGCUUUGUAUCUGUGACACUGUGUAUCUCUUUGUAUCGGCAUCCUUUGCAUUCACUGCCAGGUGUUUGAUGGUGUGUGUUUAUGUGACAUUGUGUAUCUUCCCUUCAUUAGUGUCAUUCUUAUUUAUUUUUUUUCAGACAGGGUCUUGCUCUGUUACCCAGGCUGGAGUGCAAUGGCAUGAUCAUGACUCACUGCACCCUUGGCCUCCCUGGGCUCAAGGGAUCCCCUGACUUCAGCCUCCUAAGUAGCUGGGACCACAGGCAUCCACCACCACACCCAGCUAAUUUUUGUAUUUUUGGUAGAGAGGGGUUUUGCCAUGUUGCCCAGGCUGGUCUUGAACUCCUGAGCUCAAGCAAUCUGCUGGCCUCGGCCUCCCAAUCAUCAGUGUCAUUCUGUACAUUGGGGUGUAUUGCCACAAUUGCCAAUGUGUUCUGGCACUGCGAUGUGUGUGUGUUGUGUAUGUGUCUGCGUGUAGGAAUUGUGUGUCUGGAAGGUAUCGGCGUGUGGCUGUGUGAUCUUGCAUGUGUCUGUGUUCUGCAGGAACAUGCGUCAGUGUGUGUACAUCAGUGUGCAUCUCUAUGUGUCAUGCACUGGUGGGUCUUCGUGCAUAUCAGUGUG